UGGACAAACUUGCUGAGCCUGGGUUAUGCA
rnacentral:piRNA from 1 species